UACGGAGGGUGCAAGCGUUAAUCGGAAUUACUGGGCGUAAAGCGCACGUAGGUGGUUUUGUAAGUCGGAUGUGAAAGCCCUGGGCUUAACCUGGGAAUUGCAUUCGAUACUGCUUGACUAGAGUAUGGUAGAGGGAAGUGGAAUUUCCGGUGUAGCGGUGAAAUGCGUAGAUAUCGGAAGGAACACCAGUGGCGAAGGCGACUUCCUGGGCCAAUACUGACACUGAGGUGCGAAAGCGUGGGUAGCAAACAGG
rnacentral:rRNA from 1 species